AUUCCAGCUCCAAUAGCGUAUAUUAAAGUUGUUGCAGUUCAAAAACUCGUAGUUGGAUUUCUGGUUUGAUGCCCUGGCCCGCUGCUAUUUUGGUAGUGUGUGCCGGUUGUGCGCCUGCCAUCCUUCUAGGGAACGUUCCUUCUCUUCACUGAGCCGGGUUCGUGAUCUAGAUCGUUUACUUUGAAAAAAGUAGAGUGUAUGAAUAUAUUAGCACGGAAUAAUAAUCUAGGAUUUCGGUCAUAUUUUGUUGGUUUCUGUAACUGAAGUAAUGAUUGAUAGGGAUAGUUGGGGGUGCUAGUAUUGAGCGGCCAGAGGUGAAAUUCUUGGAUUCGCUCAAGACUGACUUAUGCGAAAGCAUUCACCAAGGAUGUCUUCAUCA
rnacentral:rRNA from 1 species